rnacentral:tRNA from 1 species
GCAGGUAUAGUUCAUCGGUAGAAUAUCAGCUUCCCAAGCUGAGGAGGUGGGUUCGAUUCCCAUUACCUGCU